UCCGUAGGUGAACCCGCGGAAGGAUGCAUUA
rnacentral:rRNA from 1 species